GCUGGCUUCCGGCUGCCCCCUGGCGCGGAGGUGGGGGUCGCGGGCCUGCGGGAGAGGACCCUGAGCUCCCCCGAGCCGGAAGCGUCCUGAGCCGGCCGGCCGAGCCUGGCGGGUCGCCCUCUAUUGAGACGCCAGUCGGGCACGUUGGCUGCACGAAGAGCGCUACCAAGUGCCCCAGGAUUUUGAGCGGGGUCUCUCUUGCCUUUCCCUGAACAAGCCUUAGACCGCCAGAGGAUGUCCGGGGCGCGAAAAAACCGGUGGGGGAGCGGAAAGCGCCUUGGCGUGGGAAGAGUAGAGAAUGAAUUCCUUCCGAUUUGCUAGCUCUCUGAUCUUGGCCACACCACGCAGCUUGUGGGAUGUUCCCUGACCAGGGAUUGAACCUGGGUCCCCCCGGAAUCCUAACCACUAGGCCACCAGGGAAUUCCCGAUUGGUGCUUCUUUACCAAAGAUACAACUCUAGCCCUCUGUGAAUCCUCCUGCCUCCUAGAACCGUGGAACAAAAGCCCAGAUUUAAGGAGAUACACACAAGGGUGUCCCCAGGAUGCACUCUCCUUACUGCUUCAAGUUAAAUAAAC